rnacentral:rRNA from 1 species
GUGGGGAAUCUUGCGCAAUGGGCGAAAGCCUGACGCAGCCAUGCCGCGUGAAUGAUGAAGGUCUUAGGAUUGUAAAAUUCUUUCACCGGGGACGAUAAUGACGGUACCCGGAGAAGAAGCCCCGGCUAACUUCGUGCCAGCAGCCGCGGUAAUACGAAGGGGGCUAGCGUUGCUCGGAAUUACUGGGCGUAAAGGGCGCGUAGGCGGACAGUUUAGUCAGAGGUGAAAGCCCAGGGCUCAACCUUGGAAUUGCCUUUGAUACUGGCUGUCUUGAGUACGGGAGAGGUGGGUGGAACUCCGAGUGUAGAGGUGAAAUUCGUAGAUAUUCGGAAGAACACCAGUGGCGAAGGCGACUCACUGGCCCGUUACUGACGCUGAGGCGCGAAAGCGUGGGGAGCAAACAGGAUUAGAUACCCGAGUAGUCC